AGAAAAGUGAUGAUCGUGUUUAGUAGUUUGCUAUGAUUCGAUGAAGAGAGAGGAUGUCCCCGGCUGUAAGCAUCCUGUGCGUUCCCAUAGUAAAUGAAUUUCUCACGGGAGCUGCAGCUUUGAAGAUUUUUUGUGUAGAGGCUGACGUUUGCACACGUUACGUGUAAUGAAGAGUUUAUGUGAAGUAGAGAGGAUAUUCUCUUUCCAUAAAAAGCAGGGUGGUACCGCGGAGAGAUCCGUCCCUGAC
rnacentral:ncRNA from 1 species